AACGCACCUUGCGCUCCUUGGUAUUCUGAGGAGCAUGCCUGUUUGAGUGUCAUUAAUAUAUAUAUCAACCCCCUCUUGUUGAGUGGUUUGGAUGUGGGGGUUUUUGCUGGCCUCUUAAAAAGGUUCAGCUCCCCUGAAAUGCAUUAGCAGAACAACCUGUUCAUUCAUUGGUGUGAUAACUAUCUACGCUAUUGAAUGUGGGGGCAGUUCAGCUUCUUAACAGUCCUUGGACAAUUUUUCAUUUUAUGUGACCUCAAAUCAGGUAGGACUACCCGCUGAACUUAA
rnacentral:misc_RNA from 1 species